rnacentral:rRNA from 1 species
AUUGAACGCUGGCGGCAUGCCUUACACAUGCAAGUCGAACGGCAGCACGGGUGCUUGCACCUGGUGGCGAGUGGCGAACGGGUGAGUAAUACAUCGGAACAUGUCCUGUAGUGGGGGAUAGCCCGGCGAAAGCCGGAUUAAUACCGCAUACGAUCCACGGAUGAAAGCGGGGGACCUUCGGGCCUCGCGCUAUAGGGUUGGCCGAUGGCUGAUUAGCUAGUUGGUGGGGUAAAGGCCUACCAAGGCGACGAUCAGUAGCUGGUCUGAGAGGACGACCAGCCACACUGGGACUGAGACACGGCCCAGACUCCUACGGGAGGCAGCAGUGGGGAAUUUUGGACAAUGGGCGAAAGCCUGAUCCAGCAAUGCCGCGUGUGUGAAGAAGGCCUUCGGGUUGUAAAGCACUUUUGUCCGGAAAGAAAUCCUUGACUCUAAUACAGUCGGGGGGUGACGGUACCGGAAGAAUAAGCACCGGCUAACUACGUG